GGGGCCUUUCUUCCUUAUUUCCUGAUAACCCCCUGCAGAAAUAGAUAAACAACAAAACUCGUGGAAUUCUGUCAGAUCAAACCCUAAUUCUAGGUGAUGGUUGCAUAUUGGUCCUUUCUCUUGUUUAUUUGAUAAUUAAAAUUGAUACUUAAGAACCGUCAACAGUGGCCACCAUGCCGCUCCACGGACCCUCGUAGGGAACUCUUUCCGACAAGGCUUCUACUGGCCAACGGCUGUAGCUGAUGCCAUCGAGCUCGUGCGCUUGUGCCAUGGGUGCCAAUUCUACGCCAAACAGAUGCAUCUGCCCGCCCAGGCUCUCCAGAUGAUCCCCAUCACGUGGCCGUUUGCGGUGUGGGGUCUCGACUUAGUAGGACCUCUACAGAAGGCGAAAGCGGGGUACACCCAUUUGUUGGUUGCCAUCGACAAAUUUUCCAAAUGGAUCGAGGCUCGACCCAUCACAAACAUCCGUUCCGAGCAAGCCGUCCUUUUCUUCACCGACAUCAUCCACCGGUUCGGGAUUCCCAAUGUCAUCAUCACCGACAACGGCACUCAGUUCACUGGCAAUCACAUCCAUGUGAACUGGUCUGCAGUGGCCCACCCUCGAACUAACGGCCAGGUCGAGCGUGCCAACCACAUGAUUUUACAGGGGCUCAAACCAAGGAUCUACAACCGCUUGAAGAAAUUCGGCAAGAAAUGGGUCGAGGAGCUUUCUUCGGUCCUAUGGAGCUUAAGAACGACGCCAAGCAGGGCCACAAAAUACACCCCAUUCUUUAUGGUCUAUGGCUCUAAGGCUGUCCUCCCGACGGACCUCGAGUAUGGGUCCCCUCGACUCAAAGCAUAUAACGAGCAAUCAAAUAAAGAAACUCGAGAGAAUGCGGUCGACCAACUCGAGGAAGCUCGAGACCUGGCCCUCCUCAACUCCGCCAGAUACCAGCAGAAGCUUCGACGCUACCACGACAAGCACGUGCGCAAGAGAGAUCUGAACGUGGGCGACCUCGUCCUACGGCGGUGGCAAAGCAAUCAAGGACGCCACUAGCUGACUCCACCUUGGGAGGGCCAUACAUAGUGGCCGAGGUCUUGAAGCUGGGGACAUACAAGCUAGCGGACGAAAAAGGGGCGAUCUUCACCAACACGUGGAACAUCGAACAGCUACGUCAGUUCUACCCCUAGAAUUUCAAAGCUUUAUGUUCCAAUGUACAUUCUGUACCAUGGCCUUAUGAAUGAACGCAUGAAUGAAAAAGAUCUUUCCCUCGAGUAAUUUACCUUUUUUCACUGGUCGAAAUUUCAAUGUUAGAAGGGAGUACCAACUAUGACCCAUCAUAGUCGAUACACCCUCGGGGGCUAGCAGGGUGGUCCUCCCCCAAAUGUCGAAAAAACCAGGAAAUUCUCUCGUUCCUAUCAAUAAAUCUCACGCGGUCGAGUAGUGGAGGCACCUCGAGCCCCUUAAGGGCCGAGGAACAACGAACCUAAGGACUCCUACGCCUCCGGGCUAUGGUACCUCUACUAGCUUCCUCACCCUCGAGGUAAUCGAGAUCGCCUUAACAAAAGACCAAAUGGGAAUUACAGACAUAGGUGCACAAAGAAACAAAGGUGCCUCGAGCGGAAAGAUAGAUAAACAUUCACAGAAAUCUUACAACCACUUAAAGACACAGUAUUACUUAAGCCAGAUUAGCAAAGUACUAUAUAAGGGGCCUCAGCACCCAGAGUAGGCUCGCAGGCCUCAGUCCGUGUCUCGGCCCUCACCAUCCUCACCCGCGCUUGAGCUAGUCUCAGGGGGAAGCACUUCUGGAUCGAACAACUUGGCCAACCUCUCUCCAGGGACCUCUACAUCGUCGAGAAAGGCGUGGAGCCUCUCCUCGUUCUCCGCGUCAGUCUUGGAGAUGUCGUUGACAAAGCCGUGGGACACCACCUCCAUAUCGUAUGAAAAGCCUAAGCAGACUACCGCCAUUGCCCGCUUCACUCCGAUAUGAAGAGCGUCCCGUACUCGAUCCCUCAGUGCCGCGCCUAGAUAGCACUGCUGAUCGACCAGUGCGUCGCCUUGAGCUUCCUCCCUCGACUCGUCCAUGGGCUCGACCACCCAAGAGGUCGAGAGAUCGCUUAUCGCCAUCCGUAGCCGACGGUUCAGAGCGACCUCCCCCUCGAGCUGGGCCUUAGCGGAACAGGCCUCGACUUGGGCGGCCAGCAGCUCGUCUUUAAGCCCUGCAAAGACCAACACGAAGAAAUUAGCUAACACCAAGCACACCUCGAAAAGAAAACUCGACAAUAGAAACGUACCGUGAAUACUCUCCUCUAGAGCCGUAUUCUCGCCAACCAACUUGGUGUUGGCUCUCUCAAUCUCCUUGUUGGAGCGCACCAGCUUGGUGUUGGUAAUGCGCAGGUCCUCGAUCACCUUACCAGCCUGCGCGAUGGCUCCUUCCUUCUUCAGCAGCGCCCUCUUCAGACGAUCGACGUCGUCAGAAAGGCUACGGAAUCGAGCCCGCUCCGCUUCGAGAUCCUCAAGAGCAUUCUGUUUAGCCUCCUCCGCAGCGCUACGGGCGAUCUCGUCAUUUACGCACUCCACCUUCAUCCUUUGGAAGGAUUCUCGGGCGGAGGCAAGUUCAGUCUUGAGGAGCCCCCUCUCCUUGUCUAGGUCAGCAAUGGCGUUCUUGUAAGACAAGGCCUCCUCCCGGGCCUUGGAUGCGGCUUCCUCGACCGUCAUGGCCCGCUCCCUCAGGAGCGUAGCCUCUUCCACAGCUUUCUUCGAGGCCUCUCGAGCCUCAGCCAGAGCAGCCUCCCUCUCCUUCUUCUCCUCCUCAAGCGCCAAAAGCUCCUUGUAGGCCUUGAGGAGCUUCUCCUGCGACUCUAGGAGUUUGUCCUUGAGGAUGGUGAGUUGCUCCCAGCCGCCUCUCGUGGCGUGGAUGAAGCUCGAUUUGAUGCAGGAAGUCUCUUUCAAGUGUUGUCUGCCAGCGAUUGAGCAGUUAGGACACAAAACCAAACAUUCUAUAAGGAUUAAGGACUGAAAACACUUACAAAGUAGGCCGGUCCGAGCCUGUUGUUAACAACAUCGGAUAGGAGCCCCACCGUGUGCUUCAUCCAGAGGCGAAGCUCCUUGACGUGCUCCCACUUUUUGGCCUCCUUCCGGUCGUCUAGGAAAAUGUUGGGUUCACAUGGAUCGGUGGAAUCCUGGAUGCGGAUCCGGUCGGGGCACCAGUUCUCCAUCUCCUGGUCAGCGUGCGCCUUGACGCCUUGGAUGAGCUCCUCGACGAUCUCGAGCGCCCCCCCGUGGCGCAGGAACAAGUCGACGAGGGAGGGGAACCGCCCGUCGUCGUCCACCGUCUUCCAGGUCCCGCUCACUGCCUCCACCGCCGCCUGACGUUCCGGCCUCGUCCUCCUCAGCGGGAAUGCGGUCCUCCCACGACCGACGCUCUUGAAGGAACCCCAGAGCAAUCCCGUCCAUGCCGUAGAUCGUACCCUUGAUCUCGGACUGAGGGUCAACGGGGGUGCGCAUCAUACAGGCGAGCGCCACCACGCCGUCCACCCGCCCCGACUCCGCUGGGAUCGAGGCGGGCGCCCCUAGACGGAGCCACGCCUGGGUCGGAGGACCGUAAACUGGCCGACCCUCCUCCUGGUUUCCAGGCUCUUGCGGUGCUGCUGGCACUGGUUUGGGCGGACCGUGAGAGGGAGGCUCGAGCAGUUCCUCCAGCUGCUGGCCCCUCUGCCACUAUUGCUCCUGGAGCUCCUGCAGCUCCUGUUGACUAUCCUGCUCCAGUAGCUCCUCAAGUUGGGGACCUGCUGGCGACUGCCCCUCCCCUCCUUCUUUCGGCUGCAGCCGCUGCUCCUCUUGUGGCUGCUGCCGCAUCUCCUGCUCGCGCUCCUCUUCCUCCUUUUUUCUCCGCUCCUCGACGGAGCGAAGCCCGGCAGGCCAGGGUGUCCGCUUCACGACGUGGGAAGUCUCAACCUCCUCGUCCAAAGGACGGGCGUCCUUCGAAGACCUAUCGCCGCCAGACCCAUCACUUAUAGUGAUAGGAUCCCCCUUGACCCCAGAUCAGGGAGGCUCGGGGCUCCCUCCUGCUCUUGGGAGUGAGGAGCCUCGACACCGGUGGGCGGUCGGGGGUCGGAGGAGCCUAUAAGACACAUAAAAGCAAAGGUCAUUCGUCACAAGAACGACAUAACUCCCAUAACGACGGGAAUGAGCCACUAACCCGAAUCUUUGGAGGCCGCUCCCACUUUAAGCCUUUUUGCCAUUGAGGGCUGGGCCUGCUCGAGCGUCCGCUUCAACCUGAAGAAACAAAAACGGGCGUAAGAGAGGCCGUUACACGAGAAAACGCAAAGACAUAGGAAGAUGAGAAUCAUAGCGUCGAAGACCUCACCCCACAGGGAGAACGGCUCACCUACCGGUACCUCGACCGGUAGGCCUCGAGCCACCCCACGUCGAGGCUCUAGGCCCCUCACGAACGGGCGUGGGCCUCAGCUCAGCAUCUCCUGCCUGGCGAGCGCCAGGGCUAGCGCUCUUGCGACUUGCUUCCCCCUUGCCAGAGGCCGCGGCACGGCCACGGGUCAACGGCCCCGUCGCCUGGGGCUUAGCCCGGUCGCCCGCCUUUGGCGCAAGGGGAGGUUGGGGGCGCGGGACGGCCCGACUUUGCGCAGGCACAGGAGGGAUGUCAAUGCUGGAGCGGCGAGGGGAUGACUCCCUCUGUGGCCUUUCAAGAGACCCGCCUGGCCCCUCCUUUGGCGCUCCCAACCGCGGGGCGUCGACGUCGCCUUGAGGCGGGCCCUCGAGGAUCCGGUCGAGGCGAGAUGCCAUCCCCUUGGAGUCAUCGCUGUCGUCGUCAUCACCGCCAUCAUCCUCGUUGGGGGACUCUUCUUUAGGCUCCCCCUUUGCCUGGAUUUUGCUCGACGCGCCUCUAACGCUUGGCGGUCGAGAUUCUUCUUCUUUUUCUCUUUCUUUUCUGAGUCCCUUAAGGACUUCAGCUUUUCUGCAGACUAGCGCCGCUUGUCGCGAUCGACCUCGUCCUCCUUUACUGGAGGCCUCGAGGACCGAACGUCAAUCGGUCCCUGCGAGAGCAAAGAGAAGCUUAAAGAGGGAUCAAAGAAAAUUUAGAAUCGAAGCCAUAUGAAAGAAAAGAACUUACCAGAUCGAUUGAUCCCACGUCGGGCCUCAUAGGGAAGCCAUUAACAUGCUCCGGCUGGAAAUCACCAGCAACAGCCGCCCUGACCUGGGCCGCAACCUCAUCGUCCGUCGGAGCCUCAUUGGACAUCCGGCAUGCCUCGAGGUCCCGGGACGAAAUGCCGGGACCCAUCUCAUCCAUCCUGAGUGGCCGAGACAUCAACGGGAGAACCCUCCGAUGAUGGACGGCCGAGAGGACGAGAGCGGCGGUCCGGCCUUCCACUCGUAAUUUCUUCAAGGCGUCGAGGAGGGGGUCGAGCCGCGACUGGUGAACUUGGACGACGCCGUACGUCUAGUUCUCCGGGCGCUCCGUGAUCAAGCGGCCGGUGUAGGCAGGAAGGAGGCCAUCAUCAUUCCGCAAGUAGAACCACUGGGAGUCCCAUCCAGCAUGAUUCGAUGACAAUCCCACCGGGAUGUACUCGCGCGGUCUCUCCGUCUUGCCGGUCUUCAGCACCAGAUUGAGGCACCCGGCCCGCACGGGUUUCCUCACACCAGUAGUUCCGGUGGAAGCGUUGAAGAGCUCGCCCCGGUACAGGUGGAGCCAUAAGUCCCAAUGGGGCAUGAUCCCCAAAUAGCCCUCACACACCGCGGCAAAGACCGCUACGACGGUGAUGGCGUUUGGGGAGAAGUGCUAGAGCUCCACCCCAUAGUGAUGGCAGAGCGCCCGCAUGAAGCGACUCGGAGGAGCGCCUAGGCCGUGGCGGUGGAAUUUGGCGAAGGAGACCACAUAGCUCGUGGGCGGCCUGGGCUCUCGGUGGUCCGCCGCCGGCGCAAUCCACUCCGGUCGUGACGAUGAAGUGCGGGGGCGUAGAAGCCCCUCCCUCUCGAGCUCCAACAGUCGGUGCUCCGUCAUCGACGACGGGCGCCAGUCAUCAGCGGUGACGAGUCUCACAGGCAUCUUUGGGGUGGAAGAAAAGUGGAUUCUCUACUACUCGAGGGUGCGCUCGUGCAUGAGAUGGCAAGGGAGCUGAGGCGAGAAUGGAGGCAGAAGGCGGAAGGGAGAACGGCGGCUAGGCCACGGGAUAUUUAUAGACGGCAACCCACCAACGGACAGAUCCGAUAAACACGGUAACUCCCGCCAUAAAUGCACCGCCUAACGGUCUUUUUUCUCCACAUAGACGGGACGCUACGAAUUCUGCGCCGAUACAGUGUCACAACGGCUCCCGCCUGAAAAGACGCGCCCAACGGGCAGAAAGGUGAACCGCCACAGCCUCUUCCUUCCCAUGUAAGCCAAGGUACGUACCCAUGAAAGUCUCGAGAGGUCGCUGUUGACGGUCCUUAAGUAUCAAAUUUAACUAUCAAAUAAACAAAGAAAAGGAUCCAAAUGAAAUCAACAUCGAGACUUAGGGUUUUAUGUGACAGAAUUCCACGAGUUUUGGUGUUUGUCUAUUUCUGCAGGGGGUUAUCAGGAAAUAAGGAAGAAAGGCCCACACGUCGGGAUUACGUAAAGAUAUUAACGUGCCGCGCAAUUAUCUUACAUCUAGAAGACUCCAGAAGCCACGAGACCGAAGCGGAGGCGAAUCGGGGCCAGAGACAGGGCGCCCGCCCUGUCCUACUGGGCGCCCGCCCACCUCCUGUGGCCAAUCACGCUCAAUCUCGCGGAUUAUGCUCCACCGAGCUAAAGGAUCAAGAAUAACCGUUCAAUCAAUGUCGGUUUGAUCCGACGGCCCAGGUUCACUUGAGGGGACUAUAAAACCAGACCCCCUGGCCCCUGGAGGAGACAACCCCUUCAUUAUUCAUUAUUCAUAGACAGAGCAAAAGCUAGGGUUUAGAGAUGAGAGCUCUCCUCUCUUCUCUAAACUAGAGUAGAUCUAGAUAGUAGUGAGAUGGAGAGCGAAGGAGGAUUAGAGGAGAGGCCGGCCUGUCGGUUCUUCCUCCGGUUGUACUUCGCCAUGAUCAAGCUCUAAUCAAGCUUGCUCAUGGGAUGACUCUGGUAAUCUACUUCUAAUUCAUUAUGCAAUUACUAAUCAUGUAUGUUCUGGUUCACAACUCUUUUGAGUACUUCUAAUCUAUAGGACCCUAUAGGUUAGAGUUGUAGUAUAGGUGUAAGUGUGGUGCUUAGACCAAGAUUACUUGUGGAUAUCCCCUGACUAGCUGGAUCGUGUGGUAGGCCGCGUAGGUGACAGUUACGUUGGUCCCCUGUAGUCCACCUCUCGUUAGCAGGACGGGUAGGGUUUAUCGGCCUAUGGAUAAGCAUCCUUUGUGGUGUACUCUUAUCACGUGGUUCGUCCCAGACAUAGACAUACCCCUUUGAAGUAGAGAAACCAUAGUUAUCCUCUCUAUUCUGCUACCAUCGCCCAUAUACUAGAAUUGCUCUAUUCUCUAUUCCCAUAUUAUCACUCACUGUUAUCUUAGCUUUAAUAUUGUUCUUAUUCGAUUCUAUCAUCUUUCCUAUUUACACCUAUCUAUCUAUCUUGGUUAAGUUAGAGCGUAGUUGGUUCUUCCGUUUCCCUGUGGAUACGAUAAAACCUUUAACCGGGUAAAAGCUUCAACGGUAUCCGUGCGCUUGCGGAUUAUCUGUGUGCGUAUAAAUACCAUAGUACACUCUAGUGCCAUGCUGGGGAUGACAACCUAGUAUUCAAGUGGUGUUAGCAAGUGUCAACAAGCAUUUUUGGCGCCGUUGCCGGGGAAACGGUUGCUGAGUUGACUACGAACUAGUUUAAUCAUUUUAUAAAAAAUAAUAAUAAUAAUAUUUUCCUUUUAUCCUUUGCCUCAUCUCUGCUAUUCUUUCUUCUUAUCUAAUCCUUGAUCUCUGGUCUAUUAUGAAUUCAAACAUGUCUAUCUAUGAAUUUCAUAGACCUAUGGGCACACAUCUCGAACCACCAAAAUCUUCAAAGCCUAUCAUAGCAUCUAGUUUUGAGAUAGACCCCGAAUACAUAGAAUUUAUUCAAAAACAACCUUUCUCAGGAGAAGGUGAGGAAAACCCAUACACACACCUAAGAGAGUUUUAUCGAGUAUGUGACCUCCUUCGCAUAGAAGGCAUGUCCGAUGAGACCCUUAAAUGGAAGCUCUUUCCGUUCUCUUUAACGGGAAAAGCUAGACAUUGGUAUAAACUCAAAGUAGGGAGUGUUCAUGGAGAUUGGAAGGAGUUAUAUAGUAGUUUUCUUUCUAAAUAUUUUCCAAUCUCCAAAGUGGUGGAACUUCGGCGUGAGAUUCUUUCUUUUAGACAACUGGAAGAAGAAUCUCUUGGCAAAUCAUGGGACCGCUUUAUUAACCUUACUCUCACUGGCCCAAAACUUUCUAUUCCAGAAGAAGUUCUUCUAAUUCACUUUUUUGAGGGCCUUAGUAAGGAAGAUAAGCAAACCCUUCAUGCGGCCUCUGGAGGAUCUUUCCACCACCUAUCCGCUAGUGAAACUUGGAAUUUGAUUGAUUUAAUGAGCGGAAAGUCUCCUAGCUUUUAUAUCCCUGAGAAAGAGAAAGAACCAGUUCCUAGACAAGAAGAAGAAGUUUCGAUAGCCAGAUUACAACCACUUCAAUCCCAAACUUUAGCUAUCGAUCCUAAACCAUCAAUACCCCAAAAUUCUCUAAGGGAGGAAGGAAUUCCGACCUUAAAUCUUUUAGAUGCUGAUGGUUUAGACUUCUGGUUCUAUAAGAGACCUUCAAGCAGGGAUAAUUCAAAUCAUUGCAAUAAUGUUUCUCUUAGAGAAUGUCCUCAUUCCUGUUAUGAAGAAGUCGAGGAUGACAUAUCAAGUGAAGGAGAGCUAAGCCAUAUUGAAAAUUCUAACACUGCCCCUUUCCUGAUCACAAGUUCUAUAUGGGUAGAAUGUGUAGAAUGGAUGGAUAAGGAAGAAGCCUUAAUGGAUUCUGACUUUGGCUCAAUUUCAAAUGGUGAGUUCUUGACUCCCUUUGAAGAUGAGAUUCACCCAACUAUAGAAGAGGACAAAAGUGAGACCAAUCCAAGAGAAACUCUGAACAUUCAGAUUGGAGACGAAGAUAACAUUAAUGAGCAUGGAAUUUAUUUCAUAGCCACUUUGUUUACUCCAUGCUCAUAUGCAACAUCUUCCCAAUCUAUUGGUCUCUCCGACAUCACCACACUUGAGAUCUCCAACCCCCUCUUCCUUUCUAUUUAUAAAAACUUUAAAAGGGCGGUUGUCGAUGCAUAUGUCUAUAAUAAAUAUUGCAGAUCUCGUUGAGUUGAUCUAGAUAUAGGUUGGCGUCGGAGGGGAAACCACUUCGCCAACAUAAACUAAUGGUUUCCCAAGGACAAGCUUAGUGUCUUAAAAUAAGCAUUGAUCAGAUCGUAACAUGAGCCUUUAAUUAUUUGCAACAUUACCUUGUGUAUUGAGCAUAUAAGGAUAAUUAUGUAAAAAAAAAUAUAUAUUCCUUCGGGUAUUCUUGUCACUAACCUUUCUAAGAUUGGAGCAAGAAGAUCGGAUGAAUGACAAGCACAAGGUAUGUCCAACCAAUCAUCAUACAACAUUGAAUUAAAUUCAUCCAAACUUGAAUUUUUGCAAAAUUCAAGCUUGGGGGAGUACUUUACAUAAAAACAUCCUUUGCCAUGUUGCUAUGCUGGUUGUCCCUACCUUUGAGACAUGCUCAAUUUGUUAAAUACUAAUCACACUACUUCAUCUCCACUUGAGUAGAUCUCUAUAAACGCUGUCAUGCUACCUUUGUCUAUUUACUAGCAAGUGUUGGUUUGGAAGUACUCGCCAUACUUCCAUUGGCAUUUAAAUUAAGCAUGGUGCUUAGGUUAAAUAGCCUUCCUUAAUCUGAUUAGACAUGGAGUCUAGUUUGGUUAUUGAACUAAAAAAAAACUGCUUGAGUAGAUAUUGGUAUAUUUUGUCGGACUAACCCCUGCAGAAAAACUUUCAAUAUCGAUUUGGGAAGUCCUGAGAUAAACUCACAUCAGAGACGAAGAGAGUGACACAUGAAGUUUAACAAUUUGUACAAGAAGGACAUAGCUCAUUUAUCAUAGAGAGAUGAUCCAUGGAGGGUGCCACAAACACGAUGCACAACCGCUAAGAAAGGAAAGCUUCCACAAGAUGAUACUGUACCAUCACUCUUCGAGCAAGGUAACAUCUUAAGGUACUUGACUAUCACUUUUAUAAGCUUCUCCUUGGUUCUGGCGUUCAUAUAAAUAAAAGAGACAAACGUGUAUGAUUUACAACUCUAGAUUAACCAACCCAACUGAUUCAACAUGUUUAGUCCUUUAAUCCUUGUUCUUAGUACUACCUCCAUGAUCCCACACUCCUAAUCAUAUGAGCUAAAAUGUUACACAUUCAAUCAUUGAGAGAUAUAAAUAAAAAGACAUAUACAUAGAUAGAUUAUCUUUCCAUAAGGUUGAGCGAUCUGAUCUGACAAAUGUUAUAAGUGCUACACUCAUGAAAUUAUCAUCCAUCAACUUGUCUUGCUCACUAUGCUUAAGGUUAGAGAAGAACAAAUACACUUUUGGUUCUGUUGGUGUUUUCCACCAACAGGGCCCAUGCACUUGAUCUCUGCCUUGUCUCUAUGAGCAGGUACACUACGAGCACAAACACAUUGAGCAAGAUACUGCUAACACCGCACUUCGAACUGCUGGGCAAACGAAGAAUAUGGGUGACACCAUAUCAAGAGGUGCAGACGUCAAGGUCCGCACCUGAAUCAAAUGACGCACCUGAAAAAUGAACACGGUGAGAAGUCUUGUUAAGAAGACUUAAAACAUUGAACCCUCGCCAAAAGGUAAGUAGUUAUCCAUAUUUAUCCUUUCUGCAUUCCCUUUUCCCUUUAAUUAUUUACUUUCAUUAAAUAGAUUAUUAGUUAGUCAUGCUAUCUUGAAAAGAAAAUAAAAAUGUUAAAAAAUACUAAGCCCCAUGUGAGUAUACGAGUGGCAUAAAACCCAUAAGUACCUUCACUGUGGUGGCAUAAAAAUAAAAUAAAUAUUUCUUUCCUACUUUAUAAAAUAAAAAUAUAAAAAUAGGGAGUAAUAUUUAUUGAGGAAGCUCAACGUGAUGAAGGCUAGAUAUUUAUGGUAACACUUAAUUAGUUCCACAAGCUUUGUUGUCUAUUUGAGCUCCACAGAAUUUAAGAAUCAAGAAGACUAGCAGAUGGAGGAUAUUCUAAUCGCUGUCAGAAUGCUGCUGACUUUCAAAUACACCUCUGCCACCUGCUAGCUACAUCAAGAGAAAUUACGUCAAAAUUCAGCUUGAGGGAGAGCGCUCCUAUUUAUCUCGCUAAGUAUUUCUACCUAUCUUUAUACUUAUAUUAUAUUAGAAUAUUAAAAUACAUAAACUAUGAAAAACCAAAUAAAGAUUUUAUGCUUAUAUAUAUAUAUAUCUUUUCUUAGUUUGCUAAAUAAAUAAAUAAAUAAAUAAAGUUUGCUAUGAAUCUUAAUAAUAAAACUCUAGCAUGGAUAUGAUGAAUAGUUGCUCUGCCUAAUUUGCAAAUUUGAAGUUCUCUCUCAAGUUUAGACAUAACUGUUAUAAUUUAAAGCUUGCUCUAGAUCUAAACUUGUGGGAUGAAAACUUGAUCUGAAAUCUAAGUUGUUAACGGAUAUGAUAUGGGAAGGUUGAGCUGCUGUUUAUCUGUUCCUAGAGAUGCUAGAAUUCUGGAGAAUUUUAUCUUUGAAAAUCUUUAAAAUGUUGCAUGAUGAGUUUCUGUAUUGUGAGAGUUUAAAUUCCUUCCACAGCCAUAUAUACAUGCUUGCUAGACUUUGAGCCACACAUUUAUUAUUUACUGCUUAUGAGCAUUGAGUGUGGUCAAGUUGUGUAGACCCUUAGGAGCUUGUCAUGUGGUUAAAUCAAGAUUCACUUGCACGUUCACUCAUAUAUAUGCUACUUCUACUCCAGAAGUACCAUCCACAUAUAUCCAUCCAUUUCCAUCUCCAAAAUCACCUAAAAAUAUUCUACUCCUAAUCCUGGAGAGAAUAGCCAAAAAUAUUUCUGUUUUCCCUUGUGAAAUAAAUGCUCAAGUUAUCUUGCUACUACCACUUGCUAUAUUAUCUCAAGAGAUGAGUGCUCUGAAAAAAAAGAGAGAAGAAAAGAAGAAAAAAAUAAACGAGGAAAUAAAAAGGGGCAUGUGCCCGGAACCUCGAAAAAAAAGAAAAAGAGUGAGACGAGAGGUAAAAAUGGACAAGUGUCCGAUAGUAGAAUUAGGGGUACAGGAUACCCAUCUGAGAGAAAAGAAAAAGAAGAGCAUCUCAUUCUCCUCAUAAAGUUUCAAAAAGCAAGGAAGGUAUGUAUCCCCUCAAAAGAGCAAAAGUAGAAUUAGACUUUCACCAAUGUUAUCACCAUCAUCACCAUACACUAUUCAUUCGCCACACAUGCACAUCUUGAUUUGGCUUAUUGAUUUGUUUCUUUGGAUCCAUGGAUUGACUAUACAAUAAAUGUCUUGUAAGUAUGUAUAUUUUAUCUCCCACCUAUGACCUCCAGAUAUUAAAGCCUUAUUAGAGUAGGGUGAGAGAGAAGACAAUGUCACUAUCCCUUAUACCACAAAUACCACAUAUUUUGAGAGAAGGCAUAUACCAUCACUGCCUUGGUAAGGAUCCAGAAAUACCACAAAAGUGAGAUUUAGAGAGUCAUACAAAGGAAUCUCUGAGUUUUAUUUGAAAAUCUGCAAAAACUCCAGAGCUAUAGCUGAUCAAGAAUAAGCGACAUGGCACUUGACUGGACUGUUCUAUCUUUUAACCACUCAAGAUAGAAGUGACGGUUACAUGUCCCAUGGUGAAAGGUAAAGUAAGUAAGUUUUAAGUCUUGACAGUUUACUCUAACUCAGAGAUGAGACCUCAUUUAAAAGUAUGUGUACCGUCAAUUUUUAAAGUUAUUGCAACAACUUAUGAUCCAUAGCUGAGUCUAUCCUUGCUCAGGGACGAGCAAGAGGUAAGCUUGGGGGAGUUUGUUGACGGUCCUUAAGUAUCAAAUUUAACUAUCAAAUAAACAAAGAAAAGGAUCCAAAUGAAAUCAACAUCGAGACUUAGGGUUUUAUCUGACAGAAUUCCACGAGUUUUGGUGUUUGUCUAUUUCUGCAGGGGGUUAUCAGGAAAUAAGGAAGAAAGGCCCACACGUCGGGAUUACGUAAAGAUAUUAACGUGCCGCGCAAUUAUCUUACAUCUAGAAGACUCCAGAAGCCACGAGACCGAAGCGGAGGCGAAUCGGGGCCAGAGACAGGGCGCCCGCCCACCUCCUGUGGCCAAUCAUGCUCAAUCUCGCGGAUUAUGCUCCACCGACCUAAAGGAUCAAGAAUAACCGUUCAAUCAAUGUCGGUUUGAUCCGACGGCCCAGGUUCACUUGAGGGGACUAUAAAACCAGACCCCCUGGCCCCUGGAGGAGACAACCCCUUGAUCAUUAUUCAUUAUUCAUAGAUAGAGCAAAAGCUAGGGUUUAGAGAUGAGAGCUCUCCUCUCUUCUCUAGACUAGAGUAGAUCUAGAUAGUAGCGAGAUGGAGAGCGAAGGAGGAUUAGAGGAGAGGCCGGCCUGUCGGUUCUUCCUCCGGUUGUACUUCGCCAUGAUCAAGCUCUAAUCAAGCUUGCUCAUGGGAUGACUCUGGUAAUCUACUUCUAAUUCAUUAUGCAAUUACUAAUCAUGUAUGUUCUGGUUCACAACUCUUUUGAGUACUUCUAAUCUAUAGGACCCUAUAGGUUAGAGUUGUAGUAUAGGUGUAAGCGUGGUGCUUAGACCUAGAUUACUUGUGGAUAUCCCCUGACUAGCUGGAUCGUGUGGUAGGCCGCGUAGGUGACAGUUACGUUGGUCCCCUGUAGUCCACCUCUCGUUAGCAUGACGGGUAGGGUUUAUCGGCCUAUGGAUAAGCAUCCUUUGUGGUGUACUCUUAUCACGUGGUUCGUCCCAGACAUAGACAUACCCCUUUGAAGUAGAGAAACCAUAGUUAUCCUCUCUAUUCUGCUACCAUCGCCCAUAUACUAGAAUUGCUCUAUUCUCUAUUCCCAUAUUAUCACUCACUGUUAUCUUACCUUUAAUAUUGUUCUUAUUCGAUUCUAUCAUCUUUCCUAUUUACACCUAUCUAUCUAUCUUGGUUAAGUUAGAGCGUAGUGGGUUCUUCCGUUUCCCUGUGGAUACGAUAAAACCUUUAACCGGGUAAAAGCUUUAACGGUAUCCAUGCGCUUGCGGAUUAUUUGUGUGCGUAUAAAUACCAUAGUACACUCUAGUGCCAUGCUGGGGAUGACAAUCUAGUAUUCAAGUGGUGUUAGCAAGUGUCAACAGUCGCAGGCUGACCCACCGAAAGGGUUCGACAGCCGAUCUCGAGCACCAGAGUCAGGGAUGCCCGGCGAGGGGUCGAAAAUCGAGGCCCGCCUCGAGAACUCGCUGGGGAUGUCCAAGGUAGGGUCGAGACAGUCGAGAGGAAUCCCCCUGACGGGAGGCAUCGAGCCACUGGACUCUAUCGAACGAGACCAGCAUCCCCGACCACGUCGACCCCGCUUUAUGAGAACGCCUCCGGGCUACAGCUGACCCCCUCGAAAGGGGCACAGGUUCUCACUUGGAUCACUCGCUAAGAACUCAAUCUGGGGUAGAUGACGCACGCUCUAUCGAGAGUACGUCGAGACCCCUGCGCAAAAUGAGCCAAUCCGAACCUUCCACCACAGGUGUCGAGAGCGUUUCUGCAAAUUAGGCGAUAUAACCCUCGAGGGAGUCAAAAACUCCUCCAAGGGCUCGGGGGCUACCCCCGCGGGGUCGCUCACGCGCCCCCACAGAAACUCGACCACAAAAUAUAGCCUCGACUCGAGCGCCAGCGCUCAAAUGGAGAAUCGGGGGCUACUGUCGAGGAUAUCAGUAAGGGGUACCCUAACUGAUGUGUAUGACGAGAAUACCCAUACGCAAGUCGAGGCCUCCAACUCGAUGCUCUACCCAGUCAUACGUAUGGCCCUCGACGGCCAUGGCCAUCGAACACGGAAAGAGUGUCUAGCGAAUCGAUUAGGGCUCGACCACCGGCUACCGUCGAAUACGUAAACAGGCUUGAGCGAAUCGGAAGGCGUCGAGCACAAGGACGCUGCCCGCCGCCUGACACUGGCACGGGAACCAGGGCAUUUAAUGCGCCUGCCACGUUCUCACCUAACCCACAGGUCGCGGGAAGCGUGACAGGGAACAGGCACCCAUCCCGUCAUUCCUUUUGUAGCCUUCCCCACCAAACAAGCCAGAACGUGGCAGGACGCAGGGAGUGGGUUGGAACGUCUAAUCAAGACCCCCCUCGAGACGCCUAAGGUCAGCGGUCUGGCUGGCAAGGCGUUAUACGGCACCAGACCCUCGAAUGCAGCCGCAACGUACAAGCAUGCAACAGAUAAACCAGCCCAGGACGGCGCGUAGAGCGGGAUACCGGGGCACGCGUAAUCAUCAUCAAGCUAUCAGGACAAGAUGGCUCGAAACCACGCCGGUACGGAGGCCUCGAGUAGGUCAGCGCGCCAUACCUCUAUCGACCCCUACUCUGACGCCUAUACAUGUACCCUUGGUCUCUCCUUGGAACUAUAAAAGGGGAGGCCGGGGAGCGGAGAUAGAACAACGCGAUACAACACAACACACAUGCCAAACAAAGUAGAGCGAACUCACUCUAUCUCCCUCCAUACCACGCUUGUAUUCACCCCUGUACAAGCACUUAGGUGCAGAAUAAUACAAACUCUCCCCCCCUGCUGGACAUAGGGCCUUCUCUUGCCCGAACAAGGAUAAAUCUUUGUGUCUUUCUGCAUCACCAUCUGGAAAAGGGAGCACGCACACAAAUUUACUCGUUGGUGUGACCCCCCGGGGGAAAACACCAACAACCAGAUAGCUCAGUUGGUUCUGGAUCCGAUGAAGGCUAUCUUUGAAAAGUCUGCCGACAAUGAAAGGCAGCAUCUUAAAGCUCUAUUCGUCAAAGGAAGGGUUGAUGGGCAGCCGAUGACCAAGAUAUUAGUUGAUGGUGGGGCCGCUAUCAAUAUUAUGCCAUAUAAAGUCUAUCGGAAGCUUGGGAGAGGAGAUCAAGAUUUGACCAAGACCGAUAUGAUGCUAAAGGACUUUGAAGGAAAUGUGUCUCCGGUUAAGGGGGCAAUAUGCGUCGAGUUGACCAUCAGCAGCAAAACCUUGCCGCCAACUUUCUUCGUGAUCAGUGGAAAGGGUGCUUAUAAUCUGCUACUAGGGAGAGAUUGGAUCCAUGCCAAGUGUUGCAUCCCAUCAACAAUGCAUCAAUGCUUGGUUCAGUGGGUAGGUGACAAGAUUGAGAUUGUCCCAAGAGAUUCUUCUUAUGUCAUCGCAUCGACAGAAGCAGAUACUUUUGAAAGGACCAGGUGCAUCUCAGGAGAGAUUUGGGAGAAGGAUUUCCUCAAAGUUGCUGAUUAUGAAAUUCCACCGAUCCAAGCAGUCGGUUCUGACGAGGAGUUUUAAUGGAUAGGUUCGACGAUGAUGGAAAAUUAGGCCAAGGGUUUACAUCCGCUGAUGAUUUAGUAGAAGUAGAUAUAGGUAAUGGUGAUAAGCCAAGACCUACUUUUAUUAGUGCUAAGUUAAAUUCUGAGUGUAAGCAAUAGUUAACCGAUUUGUUAAAGGAAUAUAAAGAUUGCUUUGCUUGGAUUAUACUGAGAUGCCUGGUUUGGACCGAUGCAUUGUUGAACAUCGGUUGCCUAUCAAAUCUGGAUUUCGGCCACAUCAGCAGCCGGCUCGCCGAUGUAAUCCUAAUAUUCUUCCUGAUAUUAAGGCCGAAAUAACUAAACUUAUUGAAGCUAAAUUUAUUCGGCAGUGUCGGUAUGCCGAGUGGAUUUCCAAUGUUGUUCCAGUUUACAAGAAAAAUGGGAAGCUUCGAGUCUGCAUUGAUUUCAGAAAUCUUAACAAGGCUAUGCCGAUGGAUGGCUACCCAAUGCCGGUUGCCGAUUUGCUAGUCGACGCUGCGGCUGGACAUCGGAUCAUAAGCUUCAUGGAUUGCAAAGCAGGAUAUAAUCAGAUAUUCAUGGCUGAAGAAGAUAUUCCAAAGACCGCAUUUAGAUGUCCUGGUCAUGUUGAGCUGUUUGAAUGGAUAGUCAUGACCUUUGGCUUGAAAAAUGCUGGUGCUACCUAUCAAAGGGCUAUGAAUUUUAUCUUUCAUGAGUUCAUCAGCAAGCUGGUAGAGAUUUACAUUGAUGAUGUGGUGGUUAAGUCUGGGGAUUUCACAAAGCAUCUUGCCGAUUUGCAAAAGGUAUUGGAAUGCACAAUGAAACAUGGUUUAAAGAUGAAUCCUAAUAAGUGUGCAUUUGGUGUAUCGGCGGGGCAAUUUCUUGGUUUCAUGGUGCAUUAGAGAGGAAUUGAAAUUAGCAGGAGAUCCAUCGAUGCCAUCAGCAAAAUAGUUGCUCCUACCAACAAAACUGAGCUCCAAUCUCUCAUCUGCAAUAUAAAUUUUAUCUGGCGGUUUAUAUCUAAUUUGUCUGGUAAAAUUCGUGCUUUUAGCCCUUUGCUUAAAUUGAAAGCCGAACAAGAGUUUGUAUGGGGAAAAGAGCAACAGUUAGCAUUGGAUGAAAUCAAGAAUUAUUUAACAAAUCCUCCAGUUUAGAUUCCACCUCAGCAAAGAAAACCUUUCAGAUUAUAUUUAUCUACCGAUGGGAUGGUCAUCGGUUCAGCUUUAAUUCAAGAAUUUAAAGGGAAGGAGCGUGUGAUUUACUAUUUAAGUAGAAGAUUGAUUGAUGCUGAGACCAGGUAUUCGGCCAUUGAAAAAUUGUGUUUAUGCUUAUACUUUUCUUGCAUUAAGUUGAGGCACUAUUUGCUAUCGGCCGAAUGCACUGUUAUAUGUGUUGACGGUCCUUAAGUAUCAAAUUUAAUUAUCAAAUAAAUAAAUAAAAGGAUCCAAAUGAAAUCAAGAUCUAGACUUAGGGUUUUAUCUCACAGAAUUCCACGAGUUUUGGUGUUUGUCUAUUUCUGCAGGGGGUUAUCAGGAAAUAUGGAAGAAAGGCCCACAUGUCGGGAUUACGUAAAGAUAUUAACGUGCUGCGCAAUUAUCUUACAUCUAGAAGACUCCAGAAGCCACGAGACCGAAGCGGAGGUGAAACGGGGCCAGACCCUGGGCGGCCGCCCAGUUGGUCAGGGCGCCCGCCCUGCCCUUGAGUCCAAUCAGGACUCUGCUUUGCGGGAAAUCUCCACCGACCUAAAGGAUGAAUCUAAACCAUACAAUCUAUGUCGGUUUGAUCCAAGGGCCCAUAUUCACUUGAAGGGACUAUAAAACUAGACCCCCUGGCCCCUGGAGGAGAGAGCCUCUCAACCCUAAUUCAUUGUUCCAUCAAGGGAGAAGAAGCCUCUGAUCAAGAUUAGAGCCACCACAUCAAUUAGAUAUCUAGAUUAGCAUAGCUACAUAGGAUUAGAACUAGAAGGAGUCAAUCUUCGAUUGGUUUCCGGAUCUGUCAAGAGGAUUCUUAGUAAUUCUCUAAUUGUGCUUCUAAUUACUUUCUAAUUAUCUUUGUUCUUCAAUAUUUUGAAUAUGACUUUGUUCUACCUCAAUAUAUUGCUUAUGACUUUGCUCUACUUGCUUAUAUUCAAGAUUAUAUUGUUCUUAGUUUAUCAUAGUUAUGUACUUGGCUUAGUUAGAUUCGAUCUAUAUACAUGCUUAGGAUCGUAUAGCGUUUAUCCAUCGGAUCCAUGGGUAAAUGAUAGAUAUUGUGUAGGCGUGGUGCUUAUACCGUAUUUAUCUGCGAUUGUACCCAAUAUGCCAGAUCGUGGGGUGGUUCGUGAUAGUGACAGCUUCAUUGAUUCUUAUAUAGUCCCCCUCUCGUGUAUUGGGCUGGCAGAGCAACAUUAUUACAAGGGAGUGAUUGCUAUGUUUCUCAUAUUCCUUGCUAAUAUCACUAUGCAUGUGCGUAGUCUUGUCUCACAAUGAUUGCUAAGUAUGCUUGCACUAAUUAUGAUAUGCUAGACUAUAUAGUUGAGAAUAACUUAGGGAAUAUUCUUGCAGUUCGUUCUAAUACCAUGCUAAUGACUUUCUAGAGUAUCUAAUUGAGGUGCUUAUCAUAUUUAUUAUGUGGCUAGAUCAGAUUAGUUAUCCUUGUCACUAUUAUUGUUUCAUAUAUCUUUUAUGUGACACUUAUCCCUGUAUGAAGAGUUAGAUAAAUGUUCUCAAUUAUACAUGCAAUGAUAGAUGCUCAAUCUCAUAUUCUAUUCUGUAAUCAAUAGUGAUGAUUGCUAAUCCCUUCCCAGUGGUAAAAAUAUAAAUAACAAUACCUGGAAUACUUCCCGGUUAAAAUGCUGCAUCGGUAUUAAUCUGUGCGCUUGCAGAUCCCAUUUAUUAUUUAUUUAGAAGAGCAAUUGCAUAUUUCAAUACCGCGUCUCUUAUAUCAUGCUGGGGAUGACAACUUGGCUUAAGUGGUGUGAGGGAUAGGUUUGGCAUUUUUGGCACCGUUACUAGAUUUAGAGAACUUAGUCUACUUUUGGUAAUGAUGUUAAGAAUACCCAACAAGCAUUUUUGGCGCCGUUGCCGGGGAAGGUUGAUUACCAAUCAGGAAUGGAAUAAAAGAUUUUGAGUUAUCAUUCGCAUCACUAAUAUGAUUGAGCUUAUCUAUUCUCUCAUACAGUUUUACCCCGAUAUUUUUCUAUUUUAUCUUAUGCAAGGGAAUGUAUGAAUAGAAGACAUCUUCCAGGAAAUUUUGUUAACAAUCCUGAAGCAUUAUUCAAGAAGACGAGAGCCAAGCUAAAGAAAUCAUCAACACUUCAGCAAGAAGCUUCAUCCAAUCAAGAAGAUCACCGGAACUUGUCUUCAGAGUUCGAAGCCAUGGCGAACAAAUCAAUCUGCGAGUUCUCAGCUCCCACUACGGACAACAUCCGCACUGGACCUGCUGCAGAGAUCGAUGGCAACUUUGAGCUCAAGCCUGGACUUAUCAACAUGGUGCAAUCCAACCAGUUCUGUGGGAAGGCACACGAAGAUGCUAGUGCUCAUUUACAACACUUCCUGGAGAUUUGCAACACAUUCACCAUAGCAGGAGUUUCCAAAGACGCUAUACUACUUCGCCUCUUCCCAUUCUCACUGUUAGGAAGAGCGAAGCAGUGGUUCUACGCUACAAAGGAGAAGAAUACUACGUGGGCACUCUGCUCAACAAACUUCCUGGCUAAGUUCUUUCCCAUGGGCAAGACCAAUGCUCUCUGUCGGAAGAUUACAAGUUUUCAGCAACAAAAUGAUGAAUCUGUUCCAGAAGCAUGGGAGCGCUUUCAAGACUACAUCCUAGAAUGUCCCCAUCAUGGAAUGGAGAGUUGGCUAUUGAUGCAGACGUUCUAUCAUGGACUCGGCAACAGUGCCCGAGAGACCAUGGAUGCUGCAGCUGGAGGAGCAUUCUUAUCACUUACUAUACCACAAGCCACAGCUCUUGUGGAGAAGAUGGCGUCCAAUCAAAGCUGGAAUGAAGAGAGGACCCAGACACGCAAGAGAGGUGGAGGUAUGCAUCAGCUGAAGGAGGUAGACAUGCUGUCUGCAAAGCUAGACCUGCUCAUGAAGAAGCUCGACGAUAGAGCUGGAGACAAGAAAGAAGUUAUGCACAUCUACGACUCUCACAUGACUUGUGAGGAGUGUGGAGACACUGGACACUCAGGCAACCACUGCCCUGAGAUACUUGAGGAUGUGAACUACAUCAACAACAACAACAACUACUACUACAACCGUCCUCAACAAAAUCAAGGUUGGAAUCAACAGAGGCCUAACUACUCAGGUAAUUAUCAAGGUAACAAUUCUUACAACAAUGCUAAUAAUUUUCCACCUUUGAGAGAAUUAGUGUCUAAUCAAGGAAAGCUAAUGGAUAACCUAUCUAAGAAAUUGGCAUCUAAUGAUAAAAUGCUAGAAAAUAUAAAUAAUAGAAUGGAUAAUUUCUCUACUGCCAUCAAGAAUCAAAUUAGCUUUAAUAAAAUGAUUGAAUCUCAGUUAAAUCAAAUAUCUGAUGCUGUUCCUACUACUAACCCCGGUAUACCAUCACAACCGGAAGGAUUAGAAUCUGCAAAUCUUGUAGACAUGUUUGAUGCAGGUAAUUGGAGUAACCCCGUCACUGAAUUUUCUACUGACCGUCUACCGAUCAAGAGAGGCGAUCCAGGACGCCUCGUCAUCCCGAUCUCCAUCGGCAUGGUGGACUUCCCAGAAGCACUCUGCGACUUUGGCUCCAGUGUCAACAUUAUACCCAGGGUACUCUAUGAGAAAUUCUUUACAUAUCCUUUAUUAGAAACAACCAUGUGUUUAUAGUUUGCAGAUCAGACGAUAACUUUUCCAAAAGGAAUAGUGAGGAACCUUUGUGUCCAAGUUGGUACCUUAUAUGCCCCAGCAGACUUCGUAGUGGUAGAGACCGGAAAUGAUGAGAGAGCACCUAUCAUCUUAGGGAGGCCAUUCUUGAACACCACAGGAGCUAUCAUCUACGCCAGUGCUGCCAAGAUCAGUUUCUACGUCAAAGGGGAGAAGGAGACAUUUUUCUUCAAGAACAAGACUACACAAAUUCAAGAUCAAUCCAGACGUAAAUCAAGGAAGAGGACCAACAGGAGAAACAGGAACAAGCAAGUGUGGACCGAGUCAGCUAAGAUGGACACUGUAGUUCAUGGAGGCCAAGAUCACCAACUUAAGUCAUCGCUUUUGACCAAGAAGGAUGACCUAGGAAUGCCAAGCAUUUACUGCUCCAUAAAUGGAUACAAUUUCUACAAGACGAUUUGCGACACCGGAUCAGGCGUCAACAAAAUGGCCGCAGUCACCUAUCGGCUCUUGUUCGGGACCAUGCCACUAACACCAACAUACAUUCAGCUCCAGAUGGCAGAUCAGACAUUUCGAGAAGUUCAAGGAAUAGUAUCUGAUGUCCCAGUCAAAAUAGACGAUCACUUUGUCUACACAGACUUUCAAGUUGUUGACAUGGGAGAAGAUGAGUAUGAUCCACCCAUCAUCCUUGGAAGACCGUUCCUCAGCACCGUUAAAGCAAUUAUCUACAUUGGAACCGGAGAAGUCCAUAUGCACUUCCCCUCAGAGAAGGUACGCCGUUAUUUUACUGACCCUAACUAUAUUGUUGAAGAAUCUAAGCAGGUCAGAAAGAGACGCAAUCGCAACCAAAGGAGGCAGAUCAUCAAGGACAGAUGGGCAGACUAUGAAGGAGAAGUUGUAAGGUCAGAAGACAUAGAGUUUAAACAGAAUUAUCCAGAGGAGAUUGAAGCACCGAGUCAGGUAUGGAAAAUGAAGAUAACUAUACAAGAAGAGGAGGCGCUGCCGGAAGUACCGACUACGCCACCCAACGAACCUCAGGAUGAUUAAGAAAUUGGAGAGUCCCGUUCGGAGGACUUAAAAACACCGAACGCCUUGCCAAGAGGUAAACUUGGUAGUUUUCCUUUCCCUUUCAAUUAUUUCAAAUAGUUACUUAGUUAAUCAAGUUCGUGCUAUCUUAAAAAGAAAAUAAAAAUGUGAAAAAUAGUAAGCCCCAUGUGAGUAGACGAGUGGCAUAAAACCCAUAAGUACAUUCACUGUGGUGGCAUAAAAAUAAAAUAAAUAUUUUUCUGCUUUAUAAAAUAAAAAUAUAAAAACAGGGAGUAAUAUUUAUUAAGGAUUCUCAAGAUAAUAAAGGCUAGAUAUUUAUGCUAACACUUAAUCAGUUCCACAAGCUUUGUUGUCUAUUUGAGCUCCACAGAAUUUAAGAAUCAAGAAGACUAGCAGACGGAGGACAUUCUAAUUGCUGUCAGAAUGCUGCUGACUUUCAAAUACACCGAAGCCACCUGCUAGCUACAUCAAUAGAAAUUACGUCAAAAUUCAGCUUGGGGGAGAGCACCCCCAUUUAUCUCGAUAAGUAUUUCUAUCUAUCUUUAUACUUAUAUUAUAUUAGAAUAUUAAAAUACAUAAACUAUGGAAAACCAAAUAAAGAGUUUAUGCUUAUAUAUAUCUUUUGCUUAGUGUGAUUAAUAAAUAAAUAAAGUGGCUAUGCUAAUCUGUAUCUAAAUAAAACUUAAGCAUGGAUAUGAUAAAUAGUUGCUCUGCCUAAUUUGCGAAUUUUAAGUUCUCUCUCAAGUUUAGAUAUAACUGUUAUAGUUUAAAGCUUGCUCUAGACCUAAACUUGUGGGAUGAAAAUUUGAUCUGAAGUCUAAGUUGUUAACGGAUACGAUAUGGAAAGGUUGAGCUGCUGUUUAUCUGUUCCUAGAGAUGCUAGAAUUCUGGAGAAUUUUAUCUUUGAAAAUCUUUAAAAUAUUGCAUGAUGAGUUUCUGUAUGAUGAGAGUUUAAAUUCCUACCACAGCUAUAUAUACAUGCUUGCUAGACUUUGAGCCACACAUUUAUUAUUUACUGCUUAUGAGCAUUGAGUGUGGUCAAGCUGUGUAGACCCUUAGGAGCUUGUCAUGUGGUUAAAUCAAGAUUUCACUUGCACGUUCACUCAUAUAUGCUACUUCUACUCCGGAAGUACCAUCCACAUAUAUCCACCCAUUCCAUCUCCAGAAUCACCCAAAAAUAUUCUACUCCUAAUCCGGGAGAGAAUAACCACAAAUAUUUCUGUUUUCCCCUUGUGAAAUAAAUGCUCAAGUUAUCUUGUUGCUACCACUUGCUAUAUUAUCUCAAGAGAUGAAUGCUCUGAAAAAAAAGAGAAAGAAAAAAAAGAGAUACGAGGAAAUAAAAAGGAGCAAGUGCUCGGAACCUCGAAAGAAAAGAAAAAGUGAGACGAGAGGUAAAAAUGGACAAGUGUCCGACAGUAGAAUUAGGGGUACAAUAUACCCACCUGAGAGGAAAGAAAAAGAAGAGCAUCUCAUUCUCCUCAUAAAAUUUCAAAAGCAAGGAAGGUAUGUAUCCCCUCAAAAGAGCAAAAGUAGAAUUAGACUUCCACCUCCAUUGUUUUCACCAUUUUCACCAUCAUCACCAUACACCAUUCAUUCGCCACACAUGCACAUCUUGAUUUAGCUUAUUGAUUUGUUUCUUUGGAUCCAUGGUUUGACUAUGCAAUAAAUGUCUUGUAAGUAUGUAUACUUUAUCUCCCACCUAUGAGCUCCAGAUAUUAAAGCCUUAUUAGAGUAGGGUGAGAGAGAAGGCAAUGUCACUAUGCCUUAUACCACAAAUACUACAUAUCUUGAGAGAAGGCAUAUACUAUCACUGCCUUGGUAAGGAUCCAGAAAUACCACAAAAGAGAGACCUGAGAGAAUCAUACAAGGAAUCUCUAAGUUUUAUUUGAAAAUCUGCAAAAACUCUAGAGCUAUAGCUGAUCAAGAAUAAGAGACAUGGCACUUGACUAGACUGUUCUAUCUUUUAACCACUCAAGAUAGAAGUGACAGUUACAAGUCCCAUGGUGAAGGUAAAGUAAGUAAGUUUUAAGUCUUGACAGUUUACUCUAACUCAGAGA
rnacentral:lncRNA from 1 species